AUGCACAUUUCAUUGUCGUUUUUCUUUUGCCCCAAGAAAAAGAUAUUGAUGAUGUUCUGAACAAACUUUAAUAAAUAAAUAGCACCUUCAGACAAGU
rnacentral:snoRNA from 1 species